rnacentral:rRNA from 1 species
UGGGUAGGGGAGCGUUCUGUAAGCCUGUGAAGGUGGCCUGUGAGGGUUGCUGGAGGUAUCAGAAGUGCGAAUGCUGACAUAAGUAACGAUAAAGCGGGUGAAAAGCCCGCUCGCCGGAAGACCAAGGGUUCCUGUCCAACGUUAAUCGGGGCAGGGUGAGUCGACCCCUAAGGCGAGGCCGAAAGGCGUAGUCGAUGGGAAACGGGUUAAUAUUCCCGUACUUGGUGUUACUGCGAAGGGGGGACGGAGAAGGCUAUGUUGGCCGGGCGACGGUUGUCCCGGUUUAAGCGUGUAGGUGUGUGUUCCAGGUAAAUCCGGUUCACUUUAACACUGAGGCGUGAUGACGAGGCACUACGGUGCUGAAGCAACAAAUGCCCUGCUUCCAGGAAAAGCCUCUAAGCAUCAGGUAACAUCAAAUCGUACCCCAAACCGACACAGGUGGUCAGGUAGAGAAUACCAAGGCGCUUGAGAGAACUCGGGUGAAGGAACUAGGCAAAAUGGUGCCGUAACUUCGGGAGAAGGCACGCUGACAUGUAGGUGAAGUGAUUUACUCAUGGAGCUGAAGUCAGUCGAAGAUACCAGCUGGCUGCAACUGUUUAUUAAAAACACAGCACUGUGCAAACACGAAAGUGGACGUAUACGGUGUGACGCCUGCCCGGUGCCGGAAGGUUAAUUGAUGGGGUCAGCGCAAGCGAAGCUCCUGAUCGAAGCCCCGGUAAACGGCGGCCGUAACUAUAACGGUCCUAAGGUAGCGAAAUUCCUUGUCGGGUAAGUUCCGACCUGCACGAAUGGCGUAAUGAUGGCCAGGCUGUCUCCACCCGAGACUCAGUGAAAUUGAACUCGCUGUGAAGAUGCAGUGUACCCGCGGCAAGACGGAAAGACCCCGUGAACCUUUACUAUAGCUUGACACUGAACAUUGAGCCUUGAUGUGUAGGAUAGGUGGGAGGCUUUGAAGUGUGGACGCCAGUCUGCAUGGAGCCGACCUUGAAAUACCACCCUUUAAUGUUUGAUGUUCUAACGUGGACCCGUAAUCCGGGUUGCGGACAGUGUCUGGUGGGUAGUUUGACUGGGGCGGUCUCCUCCUAAAGAGUAACGGAGGAGCACGAAGGUUGGCUAAUCCUGGUCGGACAUCAGGAGGUUAGUGCAAUGGCAUAAGCCAGCUUGACUGCGAGCGUGACGGCGCGAGCAGGUGCGAAAGCAGGUCAUAGUGAUCCGGUGGUUCUGAAUGGAAGGGCCAUCGCUCAACGGAUAAAAGGUACUCCGGGGAUAACAGGCUGAUACCGCCCAAGAGUUCAUAUCGACGGCGGUGUUUGGCACCUCGAUGUCGGCUCAUCACAUCCUGGGGCUGAAGUAGGUCCCAAGGGUAUGGCUGUUCGCCAUUUAAAGUGGUACGCGAGCUGGGUUUAGAACGUCGUGAGACAGUUCGGUCCCUAUCUGCCGUGGGCGCUGGAGAACUGAGGGGGGCUGCUCCUAGUACGAGAGGACCGGAGUGGACGCAUCACUGGUGUUCGGGUUGUCAUGCCAAUGGCACUGCCCGGUAGCUAAAUGCGGAAGAGAUAAGUGCUGAAAGCAUCUAAGCACGAAACUUGCCCCGA